AUGGCGCGGCGCGGGCGUGUGGAGCUGCGGCGGAUCGAGGACCGGACGAGCCGGCAGGUGCGCUUCUCCAAGCGCCGCGCGGGGCUCUUCAAGAAGGCCUUCGAGCUCGCGGUCCUCUGCGACGCCGAGGUCUCGCUGCUCGUCUUCUCCCCCGCCGGCAGGCUCUACGAGUACGCCUCCUCCAGCAUAGAAGGUACAUAUGACCGCUAUCAGGCAUUUGCAAGAGCCGGAAAGGACGUGAAUGAACCUGGUGCAAGUAACAACAAUGAUGGAGAUCCUUCAAAUAUACAGUCAAGGCUUAAAGAGAUUACUUCCUGGUCUCUUCAAAACAAUGCUGAUGACUCAGAUGCUAAUGAGCUAGAGAAACUGGAGAAACUACUGACAGAUGCUUUGAAGAAUACAAGAUCCAAGAAGAUGUUGGCGCAACGAAAUAGCGGUGCGGGAACGAGUGCAAGCGGCGAGAACUCCGGUCGUCCUAGGGGACAGAAGGAAGGAAGGACUUGA
rnacentral:rRNA from 1 species